GUUGAUUGCCAGAAGUGACAAAAACCCGCAUUUUCUUGUGCUUAUUUCUUAUUUGCAAAGCUUUUAAUUAUUGUUAAAUAAUCAUCAGUUAAAGAAUCUAAUUUCAUAUCUAAACCUAUUUUCAGGAUGAUAACUGGAGACGCAAAAGUGAGGAAAAGCCUCGAAAUAAAUAUAAUUUUUGUGUUAAGAAAUUGGACUUUGAACAUCAUGAAUUUAGUACCAAUAGGAUGAGUCUUAUCGACGAAACUACACUUUUAAUUUUUUAUUUAUUUAUAAUUAAAUAAAUGUAUGUAGGUACAUGUAAAUGGUUAAAAUAGGUAGGUUUUAAAAUGCUCUUAUCGAAUCCGUCCUAAAUUAGAAAUAAGUAGGUAUGACUUCAUAGGUAAUUUUAAAAUUUUAAUGUAAGUAUCAAUUAGAAUUAAUUAACUUAAAUGCAUAUUGCCUACACACAGAUAGAUACAUUAACGAUUUUAUGAAAGUCCCAAUGAUUUAGUUACUUUUACGAGCACUUUUAUAAAAAAAAAUAUUAAUCUGAAUUCAGCACUAAAUUAUCGGUUUUGCUUUACAGGAAGCCAUAAGCGGUAGUAAUAUAAUAGGGGUAGCUUAUUAUGUCACAUUAAGAAGCUUACAGAUUUAAAGACCGUAAAAUUUAUUCCCUGCUCUCAUUACCUAUAACUCUUAAAGACAUAAUUAGUAAUUAAACUAGCGCUUGGAUCGAGACUUGAUAGCAGUGUGCAAGAUAUGAUUUUCAAUGAAGCGUAAAACUUUAACGAAAUACUAAGUAAUAAGAAUAAGUAAAAUAGUGAUCUGUUUUUCCUGUAACUAUAUGCUAUACUAUAAUUAGAAAUUAUUAUUGUAGUAGUUAAAAUUAGGAUGCAAUGUGAUACGUUUUAGGAAACUUUCGUUAUGUACUUUGUAGGCGGAAUUUUUUUCCAGAAAUGGUUGUAAAUUAAAUUAGCUGUAAGACAAUUAAUGUAGUAACAAAAAAAUUGUCUUUCCACCUUUUUCAUCUCUAAUGUUAUAAUUUUUAAUUUUUGCAUUAAGGCAAUCCCUAUGCAGCGUCAGAUUCUAAAAUUAUGUACAAUAGGCACACUUUGAGACAUUCCUUUUUGUGAUACUGUGUGUCCCAAUGAGUUGGUAAAGUCCACUGCUGACCUUUAGAUCUUAAAAAACACAGUGCUGUUCAAAAAUUUGUGACAUUAACACUAAUUAAUUGUUGGUAAUUGUUAUUACACCAUGAUAGUGAUAAUCAUCCACCACGAAUCACUUAUUACGUCUGAAGUUUAUUCAAUGAUUGUACAAACCAUCAGAAAUAUUUAAAUUACAAAUGUUUUAUUGUGGAAAUUAUGAAUAAUGGAUUAAGCGUAGCACUGUCCAGUGUCCAGCUAGAAGAUUAGGUACAUUUUUUGUUUACUGAAGCAAGAACGAGAAAGAAGUUUUUUUUUCAUUAUUUCAAAUUAAAAAUAACUCGCUUGUUUACAAUAACAAAUCUGUAGUUAUGUUUUUAAAAGGAUCACAGUUCAAUAAUCGUUCAAAUGUAAAAAAGUAGAUUUUACGAUUUUGGCUCAGUUUUGGUAUUUUGUUUUUUUAUAGUUGUGAGUGACCUUAAUAGAUGUCAAUUUAUAAAAAAUAAAUUUAUAAAAAUAAUUUAUAAUAAAAUAAAAAAACACCCAGGACUUCGUGGAAGCUCCGUAACUUUUUUUCUAUGCAAGAUAUUGACUUCAUUUUUUAGAUACGUCUGACAAUAGGCACCUUCUAAAAAUAUUUCAGUUUGUAUACAGAUUGUUCUAAAAUAAAGUACACAACUAAGUUUUGUUUUCUAACGAAAAUUCCAAAUUUUUGUAACAUUUUUGAAAUCGCGACUUGAUUGUCGAUAAACGAACCCAGGUUUCUUAGACCUGUCUCUCAUAGAGUUUGACAUAUGACAAUAAAUACCGUCGUUCAUAGAAAAAAUGUAUAAUAGACAGACAGAAAAAUGUAUAAUAACUUCAGAACCAUUCAAAACAUCAUAACCAACUUUUUUCAAUCAAUUUCUUAAGCUUUAGUACAUCUUUGAUAAUAGUUGCAAAAUUGGAGUCGAUAUCUCCUGGCCUACUACGAUUAACUAACAAAUUACAAAUGGCAAUAACGAGAUUUUUUCAAAUGCAGUACCACAUUUUAAAAUAAAGUUUGUGGGGUUUAAAAUUUGUAAAAUUAUUGUAAAAUAAAAAAAGUGAUGUUUUUUUCGGAAAAAAAAUCAAGUAGGCCAUUGUCCCAAGAUUUAUCAUUUCUAUACAAUUCAGAAAACAUUCUGUUCAACAAAUUGUAAAUUGUAAUAGAAACAGGGGUAUAUAACAAAGGAAAAAAAUAGUAGUCUUUACUACUACUAGUACUACUACUACUACUAGUUUGAUAGUUUUACAUAGUUCCCUGUCAAUCAUACUUCCCUGUUAUUAUAAAGGCUUUUAAAAUUCUUUCCUUUGUGGUGUACUUCUGUUUCUAUACCUACAAUUCACAAUUUAUUGAAAGAUAUUGUUUUUAGAAUGGUAUGGAGGUGUUCACAAAUUUUACAAGUAGACCCCACAGCCCCAUCGAUAAAAAGAUCAUAAAAACCUCAUGUAAUUAAUGAUGUUUUAAAAUAUAAAAUUAAAAAAAAUCGAGUGAUAGCCAUUUGUAGUUUGUCAAUUUCAGAAAAUCGUAGUAGGCGAUGGAAUAUCGACUCCAAGUUCGCAUUUAUUGUAAAAGAUGCACUAAAUCGAUUGGAAAAAAGUUGGUUAAGAUAUCUUGAAUACAUGACGCUAUUUUGCCGAAUCAAUUGACAUAAAUGAAAAAAUAUGCCAGAUAAGUCUAAGAACUCAGGGUGCGUUACACCGACAAUUUAGUCGAGAUUUGAAAUAUGUAACAAAAAUUCGGGGUUUUCAUAAAAAAAAAAUAGAACUUAGUUGGAUAUAUUUUAUUUUGGAUCACUCUGUAUACAAAUCCAAAUAUUCCAUGUGCUUUAUUAUCAGACCUAUGGAUCAGCCUGUAUUUAAUAGUUGAUCCAUUUUGAUAAAAAAAUUAAAGAAUCCAAAAAAAAAACGAUAUGUAAUUUGAAGAAUCUGUUGCAACAAUUAGUUCGGAUUACAGAAAAAAAGAUGUUAUCACACGUCUGGAGAAAAAAAAUUCUGGAUCUGAUCAUUUAAUCGAUGCUUAUCCUAGUUUUGUUUCAACGCCAAAAAGAUCCAAGAUUUUGUGUAAUUUUUCUGGAUGUUACUAACUCGCUAGCACACGCUGUAAAUAUGCAUGCACAACUAACAAAUAAAUCACUUAUGGGGGCUUUUUUCCGAA